UACGAAGGGGGCUAGCGUUGUUCGGAAUUACUGGGCGUAAAGCGCACGUAGGCGGCUUGGUAUGUCGGGUGUGAAAUCCCCGGGCUCAACCUGGGAACUGCAUCCGAAACUGCCUUGCUCGAGUAUGGGAGAGGGAAGUGGAAUUUCCGGUGUAGUGGUGGAAUGCGUAGAUAUCGGGAGGAACACCAGUGGCGAAGGCGGUUGCCUGGAGCUUUGCUGACGCUGAGGCGCGAAAGCGUGGGGAGCGAUCCGG
rnacentral:rRNA from 1 species